rnacentral:sRNA from 1 species
CAGGAGGCUGGCAUAGCCCAGGGGAGUCUCAGGGGAAGCGCCAUUCCCCUUGCCAGGACCUGUGGGACAGUGAAAGCAGGGGGAGGCGAGCAGACCUUGAUGUUUACCGAGGCCCCUUUGGCUCUGCCGGCUCCCUAAGGUUUUUCUGGGCUCAUGCCAGCUGGGCCGGGCAGGCUCUGGGACGUGGGAAUUCACAGCCCAGUGAGGAGGUGGUCCGGAGGUGUGUGAGAAACAAGAAAGCUACAAGGAGUAAGCCACAAGCAGCACUGCCCCAUGGCUUCUGCUUCCUCUAGUUCUCCCUCUGACUUCUCUUCAUGAUGGACUGUGAUCUGGACAUGUAACCUGAAAUAAAGCCUUUUC